CACAGCUGCUCCUAGCUUGGUGUCAUCUGCAAACUCACUGCUGCUGGACUCAAUGCCCUGCUCCAGAUCAUCAGUAAAGAUAUUGAACAGGACUGUGCCCAGCACUGCUCCCUAGGGCACACCACCAGUGCCAGCUGCCAGCUGGAUGUGGCACCAUUCACCACCACUCUCUGUUCCCAGCCUUGCAGCCAGUUCUUGACCCAUACCAGAGUGACUCUGUCCCAGCCAGGAGCUGCCAGCUGGGCCAGCAGCUGCUUGUGGCAGACAGUGCUGAAGCAAAGAGCAAACUCCCAAGGUACAGCAGCUGAAGUUGACUGCAAAGGAAGCCAAAGUUCCCUACAGAAGAAAAAAGGCAAAUGUAUGGAAACUAAGGAGCAAUGAAGAGGUCUGUGCCAUGAAAGCCUAUUUACAUAAUCCAGGCUGUCACAGCAAACAGGCUCUGCCUGAGUCCCUCUCCUGCCACACUCAUGAAAUACUUAAAGGCUUCCCAAGAUGCUAUUUGAAGCCACAUUCUGGGCAGGUUCUCUUCUCUGCAGCCAGUGAGGACACUGAUAAAUUUGGGGUUGCUUUCUCUGCUUUUCAUUUCCACCACUCUCCUGUUCAGCUGCUGUUCACUGAUGCUGCCCUGCUACCAAAUAAACCCCAAACCAUGAAGCUGUGGGUUUGGCUCUGCUCUUUGACAGACAACAGAAAUAACAACACAUGGAUCUGAUGAUUCUCUGUGAGAUGUGAUUUUUUUCCUCCCCUCCCCUGUGGAUUGUCCCAGCAGAAGUAAGGUGUCAAUGGGAUGUGAAUUAAAACAGAUUAAAUACCUGCCAAGAUGUGCACCAGAGGUGCUUUUUUCCCCCCUCUACUGCUGGCAUUAUUUUGCCUUCUCAAAGCUCAAACCCAAGCAAUUCCUUUCUGAACAGCCAAGCUAAAGCUACAAGAACUAAGGGGCAUGAGCAGAAACAAUCCAACCAGCCUGCUGCUCCUGGGUCUUAACCUCAGCCUCUCCCAUUUUACACCCUCAGGCAAGUAAGGGUCUUCCUUACCUGCCCUCAUAAGCAGUGCAACAAUUACCAACUUCUCAGCUGAGGAAUAUUUCUGCUCCAGGGCUCCAACUGAGACCUUCAGUGUCAACCAAUGCAUUGUGUGUGGGCAGCUGAAGGUGAAGGAGACGAUCAGAGGAGCAUCCAGGGCUGCGCUUCUGACGCUGCGCCCGGCUCAGGCUUGGCAUUUGAGAACUCAGGAAACAAACCAACUUCCUCAUCACAGCUCAGUGUCUCCUCAUCACAGCUCAGUGUCUCCUCAUCAGCUUCACUCACAGGCAUAUAGAAACCUGGAACCCUGCAGGAGGUGAAAACUGCCUCCCCCUUGUAUGUGUCUUUGUUCGGGAGCGCGCAGAGCGCACCUGCAACGUUCUCCCACGGGCCAGGGCCCUGGGAGCAGUUGAGGUCUUCACUGACCAGCUGAAGGACACUUUGGACUAGGACUCAAGCUCUUCAGCUCAACUCUAGCACAGCCACACCAUGCUGCUGCUGCUCAGAUGGUUCAGAGAAGCCUUCUGGCCACGUCACUCUCAGAAGAACCCAGCCUCCUCGUUCCCUCUGCACACCAAGCUUUUCAUUGUUGGGCUGCGGCUGCUCCUCCCUAGUCAGCCAAGCAGAAGCAGCUCUGUAGGCAGACUCAUGAUGCCUCCCUCCCAGCCCCUUUCCUACCCCCACCCCAGACUCAGCAGCACUCCUGCUGACACUUCCAGGGAAGAGGAGAGCCAGGUCCACUGCGGUGUGCAGAGGCAGAGGCUGAGCAGCUGCGAUGGGAACACCUUCACCUGCUGGGAUGCUGUCCUUGCUGGUACAGCAGAGUCACAAAACACCAAAAGUUGUGUAGAUCCUACUUCUCAGGUUUCAGCAGGACCUCUCCCCACGCAUGCGAGCGGCUCCACCUGUGCGCGUCGUGGGUUGGAGGUGUUCUCCACCAGGCUUUCUGCUGCUUGGCCUCGUUUCUGCAUCUCUCUCUCAUGUCCUCACUGAACUUUUUGUGCAGCUGAACCUGAGAAUAAAUUAUUAUGAAAUAGAA